CCUACGGGGUGCAGCAGUGAGGAAUAUUGGUCAAUGGACGAGAGUCUGAACCAGCCAAGUAGCGUGAAGGAUGACUGCCCUAUGGGUUGUAAACUUCUUUUAUAUGGGAAUAAAAUGUUCCACGUGUGGGAUUUUGUAUGUACCAUAUGAAUAAGGAUCGGCUAACUCCGUGCCAGCAGCCGCGGUAAUACGGAGGAUCCGAGCGUUAUCCGGAUUUAUUGGGUUUAAAGGGAGCGUAGGUGGAUUGUUAAGUCAGUUGUGAAAGUUUGCGGCUCAACCGUAAAAUUGCAGUUGAAACUGGCAGUCUUGAUUACAGUAGAGGUGGGCGGAAUUCGUGGUGUAGCGGUGAAAUGCUUAGAUAUCACGAAGAACUCCGAUUGCGAAGGCAGUUCACUGGACUGCAACUGACACUGAGGCUCGAAAGUGUGGGUAUCAAACAGGAUUAGAUACCCUUGUAGUC
rnacentral:rRNA from 1 species